rnacentral:lncRNA from 1 species
GACAAUGAGUGAACCAAGAGCCACAGAUCCUAGGUUGUAGCGUGCAAGCUGAUUCAUUCCUUCCAACCUAAAAUCAAAACUGAAAUCAACACUGAAACAUCUAAAGUUUAGCUUAGCUUAACACAAAACCAAAACAGACAAACUAUGCCUAAAAUCGAUUUCAAUCAUCAAUAAGAACGACGAAAAGACUGUUUAUUGAUUAAAAAACCUUAAUUGCGCUAACAGGAAAUAAUCCUAAUUUUUCUAACAUCAAAUCCCAAUCCAAAAACCCUAAUUACAAUCACACCUAAUAACCCUAAUCUACAAACGAAAAUAGAGUAAUCGUACCUUGAGAAGGAGAUUUGAGCAUCGUUUCACCAAACACUCCGAUUUCUAUCAACCCUCUCUCUGUUUUGGUUCAAGCAUCUGUCCGAUUUGGUUAACCAAACUCGAAGAAGGUGACUAAACUUGGUAGAGCUGAUGAUACGACGGUGAAAGAUCGGGAUCGGUUGGUGAAAUCACAUAGAUCAGGAUAGGUUGCAGGAUUUGUUCUUUCUUCACCGUAGGAGAAAACAAGAGACAGAGAGAGACGACAAAUAUGUUUUUUUCUUUUUCCUUCUUGUCAAAAAUUUACACCCAUUCAGAUAUUGACACGUUCAGUUUCUAAACAAUUUCUAAAAGCCCUUCAAUCAGAUACGAUUCUUAAGGUUUUUUACAUUUUUGAUUUAUUUUUCACUAAUUAUAUCCUUAGAAUCUCUUUAAAAACUCAUUAGGAAAC